rnacentral:RNase_P_RNA from 1 species
CCAGGGGGCCGGGCAGUCGCGUCACUCGCAAGAGUGCCGAGGAAAGUCCGGGCUCCACGAAACAAGGGUGGCGGGUAAUGCCCGCCGGGCGAGUUGCUUGCAGCGAAGUCCAGGGAAAGUGCCACAGAGAGCAGACCGCCUGCCUUGCGCAGGUAAGGGUGAAAGGGUGCGGUAAGAGCGCACCGGGUGUCUGGUAACAGAGACCGCACGGCAAACCCCACCCGGAGCAAGACCGAAUAGGGGCGGCGCGCCUUGCCGCAAGGCAGGGCAGGUCAGUUUCGGACCCGACCGCCCGGGUUGGUUGCUUGAGCCCUGGGGCGACCCAGGGCCUAGAGGAAUGGCUGCCAGCGGGGAUACGGUCCUUCAUGGGAUACCGUCCGCGCUACAGAACCCGGCUUACAGGCCCCCUGGCGAA